ACUGGAUCCUUGCGAAAAAGUACUUGCUGACUCCCGGCUUAGACAUCACUCUUGGCUCUGGAUCUGUCCCAAACUCAGUGAGGGGACCCUGCUGACACGGAGGAAAGGGAGGAAACGGCCGAGUCGGAGAUGGGCCUCCUCUCCCUUACAUCCUGCCGUCCCCUGGCCUGUGACUCAUCCUUUAACCACGGCAACUAAGGCAGCUCCCCGAAGGCAUAGUGCUUCACUGUGGCUCCAGAAAACGCCGAGCGUGUUUUGAGGACAAUGAGAAGAUCACCGGAGCCAAAUGUGUGCGAAAGCAAUGUGAGAGCCACAGGCCGGGCAGAUGAGGCAGGAUGACUGGGAAGAUGGCAUCAGGUGCCAAGAAUCUCCAGUUUUAAGAGCAGAGGGAAAGACACUCUGAAGAAGAUCUGAGAUCUAGGCAUAACCCUGUCUGCAUAUGCACAGGGAAAUUCUUCUUUCACAUGAGACAAGAACCGAGGUUGUCUUCUUCGUUGCCGUUCUCCCCUUAACGACAUGAAGGCCAAGAACCCAAGUACUUGAAUCGCCAUCUGCUUCCUCCCAGGAUGUGCCUGAACAGGAAGCCAGAUCAGAAGGGGAGGAAUUGAGACUCAAGCCAGGCACUCUGAUUUGGGAUAGGGGUAUCCUAAGAGGCAACCUAACCACUCUGCCAAGCUACAGGGAUUAUACCUUCAAUGGUUGAUUUUUAUAAGUCACUGCUGAACACCCUCUUCUUUGUACCUGGUGUAGGGGAUCCGUGUUUGAUGAAUGAGAGCACUGGGAAAUGAUGAGACAGAAAGGAUAGGGAACCAGUGGGUUUCCAUUUGUUUAUGAUCCAUGGGCGACUCAGCUCUGUCUUCACACUUCCUCCUGGCUCUGUGGGGUGGCAGUUUAUGAGGAAGAACUACAGUGGCAGGCAUCUCACACACAAGCGCCUACUUUCCCCCUCAGCUCCCUUACCUACCUCCACCCCAUGAUGGGCUUGUCCCUUUUCCCACCAACUUUAACUACGUAAAGGCUUCGGUGGUCCUCGGGGCUAAGAAGUAACCUCGCUCGUCAGUCCCAACAAGAUGUGAUUCAGCAAAUCGUGAUGAGAACAUCACUGUGGUGCAGUUUUUCAGAUUUAUUUCUGAUGAGUGGUAAUAUUUUAAAAUAGACCAUUGAACAGAUAACAAAUGACAUCUGAGUAUUGAACUUACAUUCAUGGGCGGAAGAAUAGUCAGACCAGUUUUUGUAAAGUGAAAGGUACUCUGAAUAAUUGUGUGUUUUCCCUUAUAUAUAAGAUGAUUAUCCCCCCCAAAAAAGUCAUCACAUUUUAGAUAUCAGAAAGAUCUUGGGCAUCACAAAGCCCAGGACACUUUAAGCAGAGCAUAGCAGAGACAAAUAUUGAGAAGUUUCCUGCCGCAUCGUGAUACUCCUCUCUCCACCCCAGAGGUACAGUACACUGGGUCAUAACUAUUUUACAAUGCGUUUGGAAAAAUGGAGUCUAAGGAUCUUAUCCAACAUAAAUACAAAUCAUCAGCAUGGUCAUUGCCUUCUAAAGCAACGGGCUCCCGAGUAGCAAUUAUUUCUUCAUUUUGUACUUUUUCUAACUGUCUCGUCUACCUUAUUACUAACUCUGGCGUUACCCUUUAUUAUCUAAACAAAGCCUAUGUUUGACUCAUGACAAUGUCUUUUCCUUGGAUCUGUUUUUGUGCACUCUGUGGCCAUGCCCCAGUUACCACAAUGUCUGCCGAAUGCAAUUCCUUGGCUAGUGACAGGAGCAAGAAUGGUUGCCAGUCCAGCUACAGAAAAAAAUGUUUGUGAAUUCCUUUGAUAGUGAUGAAUUCAUUGCUUCACUCAGCUGAGAAUUCUUUCUGAAGGACCAGGCACCAGCUAAAAUGUUCUGGAGUCCUGAGCUGAGUGAGAGUGUCCCCCAACUUGCAGAACCGCACAGUCUGAUGUGAGCUAGCUGUGUAAGCCGCACACAGUGGACACAGGUAGAGGAGCAGUAAAUAACCUAGGCAGCUUGGGGAAUGGAGAGGAAGAAGCUGUCUUUGGGGAUGGCAAGCAAAGAUUCAUGUAAAUUUGCAGGUGCCAAGAAGUCAUGACAAGUAGGAGCUAGAACUCUUCCAGGGAUGGUCUCAGCCCAGCUGGGGAGAGCAGGAGUCAGCCCCAGAUCCACAAACAGAGCAGGGGUGUGGACCUCAACACCCCUGGACUGGGGAGAGAGGAUCAAAGGGGAGAAUACAGGCCAGAGACAAUCCACGUGAAGACCAAGACAGCCAUCCGUACACCUCUUGAGAAAGUCACACGAGACCGCACUUGACAGCACAUUCCCAGCUGCUCAAGUAGGUAGGCGGAUCAGCUUGGGCUGACUCUGGGAGAUCUAAUCAGUCGCAGGUGCAUUUGGGGUGCAUUUUAGUCACAGGGGUAAACUGUCACUUCACAUGGUUGAGGUUGAGGCGCAACUGGCACUUUUCCCUGGAGGCAGCGUGCUCACUCGUCACUGCCUGCGUUUGGGGGAGGCCUGAAGCUCUGGGUUUCCCAAGUCUCAGACCUUCCAGCCGGUGGUAGGUGCUCAGGGCUAGCAAGAGAGGCACAUGGAAUGGUAACUAUGAGGAGGCACUGCGUCCCGUGUGCCCACGUGUGCUUGUACUACCUCAAGUGAGACUAGGGGCCUCCUUAGCCCUGCCUCCUUCCCCAGGGUGGCUCCAAAUGCCGGGAGGAAGAGGGGUUUUGACAAUUCUAUCGGAGAUAAAAGAGAAGCGCGUGACAGUGAGCACGCUGAUCAAUUUUUCCAGUAUUCCUGAAAUUCCUUUGGAAUUUUUUCAACAGAAGAUGUUGGUCAAAGGAAGGCCACAAAAUGUUCAGUUAGAAAGGAGGAAUAAGUCAGUCCAAGAUAUUUGUAUACAAUAUGGCUGUAGCUAAUAACAUGCGAGGGGUCUUCAAAAAGUUCCUGGGAAUGUAUACGAUGGAAACACUAUGUAAGAGUUUCUAAUGUUUUGCACUUAAAUGUUUUGAUAUUUUCAUUCCAUUUUUUGUAAACUUGUUGACACACUUUCAUAUUGCGUUCUGCAACAAUGCUAAGAGAGUAGAUUUACAUGGGCUCACCACACACACACACAAAUGAGAAGUGUGUGAGCUAAUGAAUGUGUUAAUUGGCUUCAAUUGGCCAUUCUAAAAGGCACCCAAUUUAAAACAUGUUGCACAUGAUAAAUAUGCAGGUAUGUAAUUUUUGUCGAUUAAAAAAAAUUAAAGAAAUUCUUGCUGACAGGCUCCUAAAGGCAACCAUUCUCCUGGUGCCCAGUCCUAAAUGACAAAUAACUCCUUUCUGAUUUAUUUUUUUAAAGGAAAGAUUUGAUUUAUCACUCUCUUUUUUUCCUCCCAUUUUUAUUUAUUUGAAGGGCAGAGAGACAGAAAAAGAGAAAAAGAGGGAAGGAGAGAGAAAGAAAUAUUUCCCUUCUGCUGGUUUACUGCCAAAUACUUACAAUAGCCGGGGCUGGGCCAGACCCAGGCCAGGAGCUGGGAACACAAGCCGAUCUCUCACACAGGUGCCAGGGAUCCAAGUACUGGAGCCAUCCCCUGCUGCCUCCCAAGGUGUGGAGCCAGGGCUUGGCCAGAACCAAGCCAGGAGCUGGGGACUCAAUCUGGGUCUCACGCAGGUGUCAGGGACCCGACUACUUGAGCCAUCCCCCGCUGCCUCCAGGGUGUGUGUUAGCAGGGAGCUGGAAUCAAGAAAAGAGCUGUGCCUUGAACCCAGACUCUCUGAUAUGGCCUGUGGGGGUCCCGGGCAGCAUCUUAACCACAGAGCCGAACGCCCACUGCCACCUACCUCAAACUGUGUUCUUCCAUGUGUCCCCUUCACAUAACUCCAACUGAAAAUGCAUUUCUUCCAGUGCCUUCAGUCUCUGUGCAUUGAUAACAGAUUCCAAAUAUGUGUCCUGAGAGAAAGCUUCCUAAGAAGGGUAUUGUUUGAAUUCUGUUGUGGCUUAAGUUUUGGUUGUAACACCUCAGUCCUGAGCAGCACUGCCAGCCCUCUUGUUUAUCCUCUGUUGGAGGAUUAAUGGAUAUAAGGAUCUGUUACCGUACCCUCUGGCUUGCUCUGCUGAGUGAGACUUUUUUUUUUUUGUGUGUGGGAGGUAAAAUAGCAAGGUUUAUUAGGGAAGGGACAUCCAUAAGGAUGGAUGGGCACCUCUCCAGACAGAGCCUGAGAGACUGGGGUGGGGGGAGCGAGGUUACAUGGUUGAGUGCAGAGAUUACACCUGGCCAGACCAGGCGGGCGGGUGACUCAGCAGAGAGGCAGAGGGCUGAGAGCGCAGUGCAGUUGAGGCUGGGGGUUUUUAAGGAGAUGGGUCUUGCUUCCCCACCUGUUCCUCUUGGAACAAAGGGCUUUUGGAUGCAAAUGUUAAGAAACUUCUCCCUGAGUUUUUUUUUUUUUUUAAACUUUUAUUUAAUGAAUAUAAAUUUCCAAAGUACAGAAUAUUGAUUACAAUGGCUUCCCCCCCAUAACGUCCCUCGAUGUGAGGGCUAUCUGGCUGCGACAUCUGUCACCCCAUUGAUCGCCAGGGUUGAUUCGGCUGAUCUGGCUGGCUAGGCGGGGUCCCCUUCCUCCAUCACCGCUCCAUGUGCGUCCCUCCCGAAGCUGCACACUCGGUUGAAGAGGACGACCUUCCCCACUAGAGGAGGACUGGUCUUCGGUCAAGGGUAUACAAGUAGCUGCGCUCCCCUGCUAGAACCUCCAAACAAGCUCUCCCUGAGUUUUGCAAAUGUUAAGAAGCUUCUCCCUGAGUUUUCUCUUGAAGGUCUGAAACAAAGGACUUUAUGGAUGCAAAUGUUAUCAGACAGGAGAGGGGGAGCAGGGCGUUUGAGAUACAGAUACUGCGCUGCACCUGGGAGAUAUCAGGUAGAAGGGGUCAGGGCAGGGCAGGAUGUGAAUACUGGGCUACCCCUGAAACACCAUCAGGAUGACUUUGAGAUGCAGCAUAUGCUGGACAUAGUCUUCCCUUUAGGCCUGUUACACACACAUAAGCUCAUACCUAACUUCCUACCUAACAUUCCCCCCUCAAGAGGUAAUACCCAAAAUUCUUCUUUGGGAUUAUGGAUGGAGUUCCGUUUUCUGUAAUUUCUUCAAAGCUUGCAUUUGGGCGUCGAGGGGGAUUUGGGUAUUUCCUCUUGCUAUCUGUCUUAUGGUGUGCAACAGUGGCCUUGGAAAGACUGUGCUGUUCGGUCCAGAGGGCUGCUCAGGUCUUCCAAUGGAAUGGGCUGGAAGCCUUGUCUGACGACAAUUUGGAGUUCGACAGCUUUUAGUCUGCUAGAGACAAAAUGAACAAGGGCAUUAAAAACACUCGGUGCAAAGAGAAGCAUCAAGAUUACAGAAGUUAUUGGGCCAAGGAGAGGAAAUAGCCAGGAUUUCCAUGACCAGAUGUCAGGCCAGAAAUCCCAACCCUGCUUGGCUGGUCCUGGAGCUGUUUGGCUUUGUCCAGGAAAAGUAUGAAUUUGGAUUUCUACCUGUCUAGUCUGAUUGACCAAGAGACAUCAUUCUUCCUGGAACAUGGCACAGAUACCCCUGGAGCAGCAGUUAGCAUGUCCAAUAUUUCUUUCUUUUGUAACCUUUUGUGACUUCCACACACCCUAAACUAGCCAUCAGGAUUCUUACAAACCAUGUCCUUUCCUUAUUUAAAAAGCUCUUUCCUUUUUAACCCUUCUUACCAACAACACUCUUUCCUUCUAAACCUUUUUUACCAAGCACACAUUUCUGUCCUUGUGAUGUUUUCCAUAGAGCCUGGUUGGCUCUUUCUAUCAACUGGUAAUCAUUUUUAUAAACAGCAACAAUCACACAAUAUUCAGCACAUUGAGUAUAGGGUUUAAUAGCUACAUCAUGCAUAUAGGAAGCAUAGGCAUUGUCAUCUUGAUAAUACUUCUGGAUUUUUUUUUUUUGAUUAGCCAAUUUGCAUCAACUUCAUUAUUUUCCUUUUUUAGGAAAUAAGGCCAUGAUCAUAAACUUAAAUCAUGUUUUCCUUUUCCUUAAAUCCUCUUUAUUAUUAUUUUUGCUCACAUUUUAAAAAACACCUUAUUGGGGAAAGAGAAAGAAACUUAAGGGAAAAUGAUUUUCAAGGUCAGAGAAAGGCGUUUCCUUCACAUGACAUCAUGGACCUAAAAGCCUUGCAUGGAUUUCUCCCAGAGGGUGAGAAAAGAACUAAAGAUAUUCUGUUUCACAGAGUUUCAAGUUUUGGAAUGCAGGGAGAUGCCUUGUGCCUCAGGCACCCCACGCGUUCCCAUCACAGAUGCGGGUGGUAGAGUCUCAUAAGACAUCGUCACACAGCUGAGGGCAAGCCCUGCUGUGAAAAGCCCUGUUGCACUAGAAUUCCUGGCAGAGAUCGCUUUGUUACUGACUGUGUGCAGCUCAGCUGACUCAGGAGUUCUGUAAGAGCCUCCAGCAGAAGCAAUGUGGGCCUUUCCCGUGGUGAUUCAUCACUAUCAGCAUAAAGUCCAAGUGUAAAAGGCUUCGUCUCCCACAAUGCUGGUUUAAAGACCAUUGACAUCUGGAAGCAACAGGAGAACACCUGGCUCACUUGUCACUUACUAUUACUCUAGGAUAUUUUGUGUAGUCCAUAGCAAGAAGACAGAAAGAUGAUAAAAUAUUGCAAUUAUUCAACCAUAACUUUAAGGGAAAGUUCUUUCAUGUUUCGAGGAACUUUUAGAUUUCUGUAACUGUUACAUCAAUUCUGUAUAAUUUAUUAAUAAUACCCAUUGAUGCUAUAACUAGAACUCAAACAGUACUUUACACUUUGCGUUUCUGUGUGGGUGCAAACUGUUGAAAUCUUUACUUAAUAUAUACUAAAUUGAUCUUCUGUAUAUAAAAAUAAUUGAAAAUGAAUCUUGAUAUGAAUGGAAUGGGAGAGGGAGCGGGAGAUGGGAGGGUUGCGGGUAGGAGGGAAGUUAUGGGGGGAAAGAGCCACUGUAAUCCAUAAACUAUACUUUGGAAAUUUAUAUUUAUUAAAUAAAAGUUAAAAAAAAUACCCGUUGAUAACUAUAGACAUAAGUAGAUAACUUAGGCAAAUGAGAAUCAAUUUUAAAACAAAGCUACCAUAUACAGCAUCUUAUUUCACUGAAUGCUCACAAAAAUGUUGUGAUGUAAGACUGAGAUUGUAAUCCCAUUUUGCUUAUGGGGAACUGAGUCUCAGAGAGGAAGCUUGCUGAAGGGCACCUAUCUGUUAGUGGCAGAGCCGGGAUCUGAGCCAGGGAAGCUCUGAAUUCAAGGACACAUUCCUCCUAACCCAGGAGGCUGCUUGGUCCAGAUGAUGGCCAGCCUGUUAUGACCAUUGUGCUCAAUGGUGGUACACAAAUACUAGGGUACUUCAAAAAGUUCAUUGCAAUCUGGGAUUCAGAGAAAAGUAUGUGGCUGGCCUUGUGAGCAGCAGGUUAAGAAGCUGCUUGUGGUGCCAGUACCCCAAAUCAGGUUGCACCCAUUCAAGUACUGCUGCUCAGCUUCCCACCCAGCUCCCUACCAGUGCACCCAGGAAGGCAGCGGAAGAUGGCCCAAGUGUUUCAGCACUUGCCACCCUGUGGGAGACCUCAGUUGAGUUCCUGGAUCCUGGUUUGGGCCUGGAUUAGCCCUAACCAUUGCUACAUUUGGAGAGAAAACCAGCAGAUGGAAGA